UGAAGAAAUAAAACGGUGUCUGUACCGUCUGCAAAGCAAUUGUCAUAAGAGACUCUCCCUCUCUCUCUCGCGUAUUUUUUGCUCUUUCAAAAAGGAAGAAGAAAAAAUCCUAAAUAAAUCUAUCCAGGGUUUCUAGAUCUCCUAUUUCUCUUCAACAAAAAUGGACGCCAUAGAUUCCGUCAUCGAUCCUCUCAGAGAAUUCGCUAAAGAUAGCGUCCGACUCGUCAAACGCUGCCACAAACCCGAUCAAAAAGAAUUCACGAAGGUGGCGACUCGUACUGCAAUCGGAUUCGUGGUUAUGGGAUUUGUUGGGUUCUUCGUAAAGUUGAUUUUUAUCCCAAUUAAUAACAUCAUCGUUGGUGCUUCUUAGGUGGUAUGGAUCAUCAAGAGGCAAUAUGAUAAAAAACUUAUCUUUAAUGAGGAAGCUUAGCUUUUAGCUUUGCUUAAUUUUCUUUUUGAUUUGUUUGCAAUAUUUCACAAACAAGGAAAUUAUCAAUAUCAAAACUUUUUUUAUGGUUCUUUUAGGCUCUGCAUCUGUUUGUUUGUGAUAUUCCACCAACAAGGAAAUUAUCGAUAUCAAGACUCUUUAUGAUUCUUUUAAGCUC